AGUUUCAUUCCUGGCUGCAUGUGUCUAUUUUUAUAUAACUCCUUUAUCUGACACACUCCUUCCUUUCUCUAACGUACCUCCAUGAUCUCAACCCAUCCCACCUUCAGUUCACCUGUCCUUUCUGGUCUAGGCUUUACUUCCAGACACAAAGUGUCCAGCUGUCAUGACUGCAGGAGUCUGGCGUAUGAAGAGUCUGGCUGAGAUGUGGCUGAGCUCUGGGUUUGCUCACUGCUGACAACACAGAGCCACAGAGUGUAAGGCCCAUCGGCGCCUCUAGUCUGACCUUGUGUAUAUCAACAGGCCACUAACCACCACCCAGCACCCACUCACCAAGCCCUACAACCAAGAUUAGACAAAUGUACAUCCUGCAGGAGGCUGAACUGUCGUGUGCCGCAGGCAGAGAACAGGAGGGACAGCCACAUUGUGGGUCUCUCUGGCCACCCUACUUUCUGGGGAAUGGUAGCCUGGGAAGCAACAGCAUCCUCCAGGGUUGGAUGUGAGCACUGAAGUUCCUGCUUCUCACUGGUCCCAUAAAUAUGUGUUAUCUAUCAGCAAGGAAUAACUACUAGUCAUUCACGGAGCCCUUUCCCAAGGCCAUUUACAGCCUACAACCGGCUCGAUCUUGUGUGCAUCUGAAAACCCUAGAAUAGUCUGGGGAGAGCAAAACUUUUCUUGCGGGUGAGUUUCAGUUGACGUAUUUUCCUUUCUGGGGAACAAACAAACAAAAAUCCAUUUG